rnacentral:tRNA from 1 species
GUUCCUGUAGCGCAAUACAUAGCGCGUUGGACUUAUAAUCCAAAAAUCGUGGGUUCAAAUCCCACCUAGGAUG